GCGGACGGGUGAGUAACACAUGGGAAUCGACCCACACGUGAGGAAUACCACCGGGAAACCGGUGACAAUACCGCAUACGCUUCUUUCGGGAAGCAAAGCUCUCUUUCGGGAGGGCGCGCGUGGACGAGCCUGUGCCUGAUUAGUUAGUUGGUGAGGUAAGAGCUUACCAAGACUGCGAUCAGUCGCUGGUCUGAGAGGAUGAUCAGCCACACUGGGAUUGAGAACGGCCCAGACUCCUACGGGGGGCAGCAGUGAGGAAUAUUCGGCAAUGGGGGCAACCCUGACCGAGCAACGCCGCGUGCAGGACGACGGCCUUCGGGUUGUAAACUGCUUUUUCAGGGGAUGAGAACGGACAGUACCCUGAGAAGAAGCUCCGGCUAACUACGUGCCAGCAGCCGCGGUAAUACGUAGGGAGCGAGCGUUGUCCGGAGUUACUGGGCGUAAAGCGCACGCAGGCGGUCUGUCGCGUUCGUGCCGACAGCGACUCGCCUAACGAGUCGAGGAGUACGGAAACGGGCAGACUUGAGGGCCAGAGAGGGACACGGAACUCCGGGUGGAGUGGUGAAAUGCGUAGAGAUCCGGAAGAACACCAAAGGCGAAGGCAGUGUCCUGGUUGGCACCUGACGCUCAGAGGCGAUAGCCAGGGGAGCGAACGGGAUUAGAUACCCCGGUAGUCCUGGCCGUAAACGAUGACCACGAGAUGUGGGAGGGAUCGACCCCUUCCGUGUCGCAGCUAACGCAGUCAGUGGUCCGCCUGGGGAGUACGGUCGCAAGAUUAAAACCCAAAGGAAUUGACGGGGACCCGCAC
rnacentral:rRNA from 1 species